GGGUCAGUAGCGAAUCGGCAAACGCAGCAGACUGUAAAUCUGCCUCCUUCGGGAAUAGGUGGAUCGACACCACCCUGACCCA
rnacentral:tRNA from 1 species